GAUGGAGGAGCGGGGAGCUCCAGCCAGAGAAGAGGAAAGAGAAAGGAGAGAGCUAGGAACUGGGAAGGAAAAGAGCUAGGAGGAGACCAUGAGACAGAAAGAGAAGAGGGUGAAGAGAGAGGAUAGUGGCUGGGAGGAGAGAGGAGGAGGGAGGAGCACAGAGGGAGAGGAGAGGAAACAGCCAGAGAAUCUGCUAGAAGGGAGAGAGGAGAGAGAAGAGCCGGACAGGGAGAGCAGAAGUGAGAAAAAGGAGGGUGGCCACAGAGAGGACAGCGAGAAAAAGAGAACAGGAAGAGGGGAAAAGAGAAGAAAUGGGAGAGGGAAGAAGGGUGGGAGAGAAAACGGAACAGAGAGGGGGCACAGACAGCGGACUGGACCGAGAGGGAGAUGGAGCGGUGCGGAGGGGGAGAGAGAAAGAGGGAGGGAAGGAGGGUAGGAGAGGGCUGGAGAUAGGGGAAAAGAGAAAAGGAGGGUAGGAGAGGGCUGGAGAGAGAAGGGAAGUUAAGAAGGGAAGGAGAGAGACAGACAUUAGGGAAGAAGGAAAGGAGAAAGGAAAAAAUACAAAAAAGGGCAGAGAGAAAAGAACAGGCCGGGCAUGGUGCCUCGCACCUGUGGUCCCAGCACUUUGAGAGGCUAAGGCAGGAGGAUCACUGGAGCCUGGGAGGUGGAGGCUGCACUACUGCACUCCAGCGGGUGCCAUCGUGCCUGCUAAUUUUUGUAUUUUUUAGUAGAGACGGGGUUUCACCAUUUUGGCUAGGCUGGUCUCGAAUUCCUGACCUCAUGAUCCGCCCACCUUGGCCUCCCAAAGUGCUGGGAUUACAGGCGUUGAGCCACCGUGGCCGGCCCUUAAGAGAGAGAGAGACAGGGAGAGAGAGACAGGGAGAGAGAGACAGAGGGAGACAGGGAGAGAGAGACACAGGGAGAGAGAGACAGAGGGAGAGAGAGAGACGGAGAG
rnacentral:lncRNA from 10 species